rnacentral:rRNA from 1 species
CCUACGGGAGGCAUCAGUGAGGAAUAUUGGGCAAUGGACGCAAGUCUGAACCAGCCACGCCGCGUGCAGGAAGACGGCUCUAUGAGUUGUAAACUGCUUUUGUACGAGGGUAAACGCAGAUACGCGUAUCUGUCUGAAAGUAUCGUACGAAUAAGGAUCGGCUAACUCAGUGCCAACAGCCGGGGUAAUACGGAGGGUUCAAGCGUUAUCCGGAUUUAUUGGGUGUAAAGGGUGCGUAGGCGGUCGGAUAAGUUAGAGGUGAAAUCCCGGGGCUCAACUUCGGAAUUGCCUUUGAUACUGUUCGGCUAGAGAGUAGUUGCGGUAGGCGGAAUGUAUGGUGUAGCGGUGAAAUGCUUAGAGAUCAGACAGAACACCGAUUGCGAAGGCAGCUUACCAAGCUACUACUGACGUUGAGGCGCGAAAGCGUGGGGAGCAAACAGGAUUAGAUACCCGAGUAGUC